UGGAGGAAAUGAGAGAGGGGAGAGGAAAGAAAAAAAAGCCUCCGAUGCACAAGCAGGCUACAGUGCAGCGCAGUGGAAAUAAAAAAA